rnacentral:rRNA from 1 species
CUGGCGGCACGCCUAACACAUGCAAGUCGAACGAAGUAGCAAUACUUAGUGGCAGACGGGUGAGUAACAUGUAGGUAUCUGCCCUUUGGCCUGGAAUAACACGAGGAAACUUGUGCUAAUACCGGAUAAGUCUUCACGGAGAAAGCUUUAUGCACCAUUGGAUGAGCCUGCACUUGAUUAGUUUGUUGGUGGGGUAAUGGCCUACCAAGACUGUGAUCAAUAGCUGAUUUGAGAGGAUGAUCAGCCACAUUGGGACUGAGACACGGCCCAAACUCCUACGGGAGGCAGCAGUGGGGAAUCUUGCACAAUGGAGGAAACUCUGAUGCAGCGAUGCCGCGUGAGUGAAGAAGGCCCUUGGGUUGUAAAGCUCUUUCGUCGGGGAAGAAAAUGACUGUACCCGAAUAAGAAGGUCCGGCUAA